AGAGUCCUGAUACUCUGAAUUUUAUUUUCUCUAUGUAGAUCAAGUGUCUGAUUUGUCAUUGCAGAUUCCUGCUGCCGUUAUGUGGUUGUGCAUGUUGUCUUAUUCUUCGCGUUUGUAAAGUCCAUGAAAAGCUUUUUUCCUCAUAAGUGAGCAAGAACUUCAGUCCUUCAGUGAACUGGAAAUUCCAUUUUUUUAUGUUCCCUCUUCAUUCUCCAGUUGUGACUAGAAAACCGUAUCAACCUGUUGCAAGACCAGAGAAUACAUGUUACACACCCUGGAGCUGAGGCAGAGAAGCUGAAAGAUUCAUUCAGUGCUGUAUAAGAAAUGUGUGAGUGCAGACCAAGACCCAGUGUUGGUAAGAUGAUUUUUAUUCUCUUCUAAAGGAGACCAGUUCACUGUGAGUCAUAAAACUCAUCCUAUGAA
rnacentral:lncRNA from 12 species